rnacentral:rRNA from 2 species
UAAGCGGAGGAAAAGAAACUAACAAGGAUUCCCCUAGUAACUGCGAGUGAAGCGGGAAAAGCUCAAAUUUAAAAUCUGGCGGUCUUAGGCCGUCCGAGUUGUAAUUUAGAGAAGCGUCUUCCGCGCCGGACCGUGCACAAGUCUCCUGGAAUGGAGCGUCAUAGAGGGUGAGAAUCCCGUCUUUGGCACGGAUGCCUGGUGCUUCUGUGAUGCGCUCUCGAAGAGUCGAGUUGUUUGGGAAUGCAGCUCAAAAUGGGUGGUGAACUCCAUCUAAAGCUAAAUAUUGGCGAGAGACCGAUAGCGAACAAGUACCGUGAGGGAAAGAUGAAAAGCACUUUGGAAAGAGAGUGAAACAGUACGUGAAAUUGUUGAAAGGGAAACGCUUGAAGUCAGUCGCGUCGACCGAGACUCAGCCUUGCCUCGGCUUGGUGUACUUCUCGGCCCGACGGGUCAGCGUCAAUUUUGCUCCUCGGAUAAUGGCAAGGGAAAGGUGGCACCUUUACGGGUGUGUUAUAGUCUCCUGUCGCAUGCGAGGGGUGGGAUUGAGGAACUCAGCGCGCACCUUGGUGUCGGGGCUUCUGCCCACGUCACGCGCUUAGGAUGCUGGCGUAAUGGCUUUAAACGACC